CCUGUCAGGAUUCUGUUGGUCCCCCCCCUUUCUGUCUCUGUCGUCCGGCGGUCUCUUUGGGGUAUCAGGAUUAACAUUUCACUCGUGCAUAGUGAACCGAAAACCAUAAACAUAAACAAAAAUAUAACAUAAUUAUGAACCAUAUAACAAGGUUGAUAAAAACAUAUGUAGUGAUGUACUUUCAGUCUGGUCUUACAAUUUGCC